UGUGUUAGGUUUACAAGGUUUCAUUCA
rnacentral:piRNA from 1 species